AGACAUCCUACGCCAGGACAGAGCCGCCAGAGGUCAGCGCAGCGAGGCGGGGUCCUCCCCUUCAUCUGGAGCAAGGCAGGCGGGCGGGAGGCUGAGGACCUGCGAUCUCGUGAGACACCGGUGCCCUCCCCUCCAGGGAGCAGAGGCAGCUCUGGAAGUCAGUUUAAUGCGGACACCGCUACCGGAGGGGUGCAGAACACUUCUCCCAGCGUCCUGGGCUCCGCGAGCACAAUUUUAAAACCAGCGGUGAAAUCCGAUCCUUCCGCGGUGGAGCGCGGCCGCAGCUCCGAGCGCCAUCUCAGACUCCACCGGCUUCUGCACCGCGAGUCAACCCGCUGGCUGACUCUCCUAGGCAGGGACCUCGGCGCCGGCCCGAGCGAGGAGCUGCGCACGCAGCGGGUCCCGGCGCCCUCCCCGCACACAAAGGCCCGCGCGCGUCUGGAGUCCGCGGCGGGGACCAAACUCCCUCCUGCCUGCCUUGAGGUCCGGGAGCCGCGCGGAAUGUGGAGGCUCCUGCGCUCCCGGAGGCGCUCUUCUCCGCGCUGCGCUUUGGGACCUGGAACCGCGCCGACGCGGCGCCGGUGCGCUCGGGCCGCUGCCAGCUGCACUGGAUCUAUAGUCACAGGAGGCCCCGCUCCGGGCGCAACGCCUGCCGCCCGCGCCGGCCGUCUCCGCUCCGGGUCUUUGUGUCCCACCCUGCUCCCGCCCCGCCGCCCCGCCGCCCCGCGUCCACCCGCCCGCAGCGGCCGACCCGGCACCCUGGAGCCGCCCUGGAGUGGGCAGUCGGAGCUGCGUCAGGCGCAGCGCCCGGGAGACCCCAGUCAGCAGCGCUGCCGCGCCCUGCGCGUAGUCCCCUGCCUCGCCCCCUGAGGGCCCCCAAGGGCGAGCGCACCUGGCCGGGCGACCCCUGGAGCUGGGCAGCGCGCCCCGGAGCUGCCUGCGGGCGCCCGCCGCCUUCCACGCCUGUCUGCCCCGGAGGAUUGGGGGUCCGGCCUGCGUCCCGUCCGUCCCUUCUUGGCCUGGGUGCGCGGAGCUGAGAGUGGCUUCGCCAUGGCUGUGAGAAGGGACUCCGUGUGGAAGUACUGCUGGGGAGUUUUGAUGGUUUUAUGCUGAACUGCGAUUUCCAAAUUGAUAGUUUUAGAGCCUAUCUAUUGGAAUUCCUCCAACUCCAAGUGGAGACUCCUCGCUCGGCCUUCGAACCACAGGGAUGGAAAAGGGACGGCCUCUUCGCCUUUCCUCCCCCGAGCGCUCCCGGGCGCUAAAAGCUCCUAGCAGCUCGGGUGU
rnacentral:lncRNA from 13 species